AUAACCCGGCGAAAGUCGGACUAAUACCGCAUGAAGCAGGGGCCCCGCAUGGGGAUAUUUGCUAAAGAUUCAUCGCUGAUAGAUAGGCAUGCGUUCCAUUAGGCAGUUGGCGGGGUAACGGCCCACCAAACCGACGAUGGAUAGGGGUUCUGAGAGGAAGGUCCCCCACAUUGGUACUGAGACACGGACCAAACUCCUACGGGAGGCAGCAGUGAGGAAUAUUGGUCAAUGGGCGUAAGCCUGAACCAGCCAAGUCGCGUGAGGGAUGAAGGUUCUAUGGAUCGUAAACCUCUUUUAUAAGGGAAUAAAGUGCGGGACGUGUCCCGUUUUGUAUGUACCUUAUGAAUAAGGAUCGGCUAACUCCGUGCCAGCAGCCGCGGUAAUACGGAGGAUCCGAGCGUUAUCCGGAUUUAUCGGGUUUAAAGGGUGCGUAGGCGGCCUUUUAAGUCAGCGGUGAAAGUCUGUGGCUCAACCAUAGAAUUGCCGUUGAAACUGGGGGGCUUGAGUAUGUUUGAGGCAGGCGGAAUGCGUGGUGUAGCGGUGAAAUGCUUAGAUAUCACGCAGAACCCCGAUUGCGAAGGCAGCCUGCCAAGCCAUGACUGACGCUGAUGCACGAAAGCGUGGGUAUCAAACAGGAUUAGAUACCCUGGUAGUCCACGCAGUAAACGAUGAUCACUAGCUGUUUGCGAUACAGUGUAAGCGGCACAGCGAAAGCGUUAAGUGAUCCACCUGGGGAGUACGCCGGCAACGGUGAAACUCAAAGGAAUUGACGGGGGCCCGCACAAGCGGAGGAACAUGUGGUUUAAUUCGAUGAUACGCGAGGAACCUUACCCGGGUUUGAACGCAUUCGGACCGAGGUGGAAACACCUUUUCUAGCAAUAGCCGUUUGCGAGGUGCUGCAUGGUUGUCGUCAGCUCGUGCCGUGAGGUGUCGGCUUAAGUGCCAUAACGAGCGCAACCCUUGCCACUAGUUACUAACAGGUGAUGCUGAGGACUCUGGUGGGACUGCCAGCGUAAGCUGCGAGGAGGGCGGGGAUGACGUCAAAUCAGCACGGCCCUUACAUCCGGGGCGACACACGUGUUACAAUGGCGUGGACAAAGGGAAGCCACCUGGCGACAGGGAGCGAAUCCCCAAACCACGUCUCAGUUCGGAUCGGAGUCUGCAACCCGACUCCGUGAAGCUGGAUUCGCUAGUAAUCGCGCAUCAGCCAUGGCGCGGUGAAUACGUUCCCGGGCCUUGUACACACCGCCCGUCAAGCCAUGGGAGCCGGGGGUACCUGAAGUCCGUAACCGAAAGGAUCGGCCUAGGGUAAAACUGGUGACUGGGGCUAAGUCGAACAAGGUAGCCGUACCGGAAGGUGCGGCUG
rnacentral:rRNA from 1 species